rnacentral:rRNA from 1 species
GACGAACGCUGUCGGCGCGCCUAACACAUGCAAGUCGAACGGAGUUGCUGAAGCUGAAUUUUUCGGAAGGACGCAUUAGUAACUUAGUGGCGGACGGGUGAGUAACGCGUGCGUAACCUGCCUUUCAGAGGGGGAUAACGUUUGGAAACGAACGCUAAUACCGCAUAACAUAACGAGGUCGCAUGGCUUUGUUAUCAAAGGAGCAAUCCGCUGGAAGAUGGACUCGCGUCCAAUUAGCUAGUUGGUGAGGUAAAGGCCCACCAAGGCGACGAUUGGUAGCCGGACUGAGAGGUUGAACGGCAACAUUGGGACUGAGCCACGGCCCAGACUCCUACGGGAGGCAGCAGUAGGGAAUUUGCGGCAAUGGGGGGAACCCUGACCGAGCAACGCCGCGUGAAGGAAGAAGGUUUUCGGAUUGUAAACUUCUGUUAUAAAGGAAGAACAGUAGAUGGAGGGAAUGCCAUGUAAGUGACGGUACUUUAGGAGAAAGCCACGGCUAACUACGUGCCAGCAGCCGCCGUAAGAC